CAUUACAAUGGGUAAAUUCAAAUUAAAAUGAUAUCAAUACAAUCCGUUUUUUGUACAAGUAAAGCCAUAAAGAAUGUCUUUUUAUUGCAAUUGUUGACCGUUAUACAGCUAAUUGCUAUUCUUUUUUGUAGCAUUAGAAAGUUGUCGAAGAAUGGAGAAUGUUGGACUUCCACUUUGAAGCACAUUUUGGACACCGACAAUUCCACGAAAUGCCGGGAAACAGCGUUUGAAAAGUAAGCUGUUUAUUUUAAAGUCGCUCAAUUGAGGGCACAGCCAAGCCGUUGAUCUCCAAACAUGGAUACGUCCUGAAGAUUAACUUCAAAUCUGGCAACAUUCGACCUCAACAACAUCUUUGCUUUGGUACACCGAGGAAUGAUUAAAUCUUUGCUUCAGUCCUGAUGGAAAUGCAAAUUUAAUCCGCAAACUGCAUGGAGAUGCUCCCGAUAAGAUUAACUAUCUCAGACUGCUUAUAUGACACCGUAUUUAAGUUAAAUGCAACAUGUUAGUGUUACUUUAUUUCAAUCUGCUUUAUUCCUUAAAACAGUGGUUUGAGAAAAAAUUUUGUUAGACCCAUUGGUCCUGAUACAUAUUUGAAGCCUUAGGGCUAAAAUGCUUGUGCCUCAUAUAUAAUUAGAUGAAAACACAAAUACAUGAGGUAUAUAUAUUUAAUUUAACCUGUGGGUAAUUAAAUAAUUGUUAGAUGAAAUCAUAAUUUUCUGACUUAGGCAAAAAUCCAAAUUUAGAAGAAAAACAAUUUCAUCACAUACUUGUGUAAUGUAUAAACCUGUUUGAUAUUUCUAAAUUAUUUCUCUUAUGUGUAGUUUCUAUCAAAAAAUAAUCAUGGAAUACAGUGGAUGAAGAGAAGUAUUCCUCUAACACGCGUUUCAUAACAUUUAGAGAUAUAAAACCAUGUAUCCAGGCUCGCAUCGUUUUCUUUUGGUGUCAUCUAGUGGUUUAAGUUUGGAAGUACAGGGGUGGUUUCUAGAUGCAUAAUUAUUGUAUUUUUGCAUACUUUUGUAUUUCUAUUAGAAGAGUUAUAAUAACUUACUUUUGACAGUAUGAUUUUAUAGUACAGUAUAACAGUAUAAUGUUAAAGUACAUAUUAAAAGGCAAUUUCAGCAAGUACUAAGGAAUUGUGCAUAAUCUUCUGAAUCUAAAAAAAAGACAAAAACAAGUCUAAAGUGCUGUUUCUUUAUUCUGGCAUUGAUUUAUUCUGGUGACCUUGGCAUAAAACAGAAAAAGUUUAAUGUAAUCAAUUAAAACGAUUAUGUUAUUUUUAUGCAAUCAAUACAAACAUCUGGUGUCUAUUUUAUACCCCAUA